ensembl:lncRNA
GGGAGGUCGGUGUGAGAGCCCUGUGCUACAGGUCAAUGAGGAAGAGUGAGGCACCACCACACAGACUAAGUAUUAAGCUUCUGGAUUCAUCGCUGGUGGUACUGACACAUAGCCAGUGCUCCUGUGUGGCAGGUGCUGUUAUGUGCAAUCACACAGUGGCACUGCUCUUCCAAACAGCACACUACUCACAACUCAGAGUGCCGGUUAUCCCCCCUGUGCAUAGCUGCACCGAAUCUGAACAGCAAUGGCACAAGCCACGGACAGUGGGUGUGAAGCCAGGACCUAUCAACUCUAUGAUCUUCACUAAGCCGGUACCAAAUAGGAUGGCCCAGACUGGAGCACGGAGUGGAUUCUACAGAGGCACUGUGGGUCCAUUACCAGAUCCCUGACCUGACAAGCCCCUUGUGGAAAGUGCCUUUGGGCUGGUGAAGGAGGGCAGUGUUCUGCCAUGUCAGCAGCCGGUUUUGACAACCCGGCACAUCACACUACACCGUGAU